GGGUUGUGAGGUUAAGCGACUAAGCGUACACGGUGGAUGCCCUGGCAGUCAGAGGCGAUGAAGGACGUGCUAAUCUGCGAUAAGCGUCGGUAAGGUGAUAUGAACCAUUAUAACCGGCGAUUUCCGAAUGGGGAAACCCAGUGUGAUUCGUCACACUAUCAUUAACUGAAUCCAUAGGUUAAUGAGGCGAACCGGGGGAACUGAAACAUCUAAGUACCCCGAGGAAAAGAAAUCAACCGAGAUUCCCCCAGUAGCGGCGAGCGAACGGGGAGCAGCCCAGAGCCUGAAUCAGUGUGUGUGUUAGUGGAAGCGUCUGGAAAGGCGUGCGAUACAGGGUGACAGCCCCGUACACAAAAAUGCACAUAUUGUGAGCUCGAUGAGUAGGGCGGGACACGUGGUAUCCUGUCUGAAUAUGGGGGGACCAUCCUCCAAGGCUAAAUACUCCUGACUGACCGAUAGUGAACCAGUACCGUGAGGGAAAGGCGAAAAGAACCCCGGCGAGGGGAGUGAAAAAGAACCUGAAACCGUGUACGUACAAGCAGUGGGAGCACGCUUAGGCGUGUGACUGCGUACCUUUUGUAUAAUGGGUCAGCGACUUAUAUUCUGUAGCAAGGUUAACCGAAUAGGGGAGCCGAAGGGAAACCGAGUCUUAACUGGGCGUUAAGUUGCAGGGUAUAGACCCGAAACCCGGUGAUCUAGCCAUGGGCAGGUUGAAGGUUGGGUAACACUAACUGGAGGACCGAACCGACUAAUGUUGAAAAAUUAGCGGAUGACUUGUGGCUGGGGGUGAAAGGCCAAUCAAACCGGGAGAUAGCUGGUUCUCCCCGAAAGCUAUUUAG
rnacentral:rRNA from 1 species